rnacentral:tRNA from 1 species
AAGAGUAUAGUAUAACGGUAGUAUCUCGGCUUCCAACCCCGAGGGUAUGGGUUCGAUUCUUGUUACUCUUG